GAGGCAUUGGUUUUGGUUUUGCACUUGGUGGGCUUCGUUAAGUUAUUUUGCUGUUUCGGUUUGGUUGGGAGUGGCUAGGUAAUGCUGAGUACUUCAUCGAAAGAAAUGAACAUGGAGCUAGCAAGGGAAAGCAUUGAUAUGUUUCUGAACAACCGUGUGGUGGAAGCUGAAGAACUCUUCCGUCAUCACGAUGAAAACUGGCAUGUCAGGAUGGCACAGUGUUAUGCUGCUGUCAUGAGUGCUGUUGUGACAUUUGAAACAGCUCAGCUGGAGCAGACACUGCAACUGCUGAAGGUGACAGAGAAGGCUGUGGCACCUGGCUCUGGCCUUGUCAGCCAGCUAAAGAGCAAGCUGAAGGGCAC